rnacentral:pre_miRNA from 7 species
AUCUGGUGUGCUGGAGUGUAAGACCCCCUUUCAGGUACCCCCACUCUAGUCUCGGGAGAGAGAUAGCACCCACAGAAACACGAGAAUCC